rnacentral:rRNA from 1 species
CAUCUUAAGGCUGAGAUACGAUGUCGAGCUACUACGGUAGUGAAGUCAUUGAUGCCAUGCUUCCGGGAAAAGCUUCUAAGCUUCAGAUUAUAAGAAAUCGUACCCCAAACCGACACAGGUGAUCAGGUAGAGAAUACCAAGGCGCUUGAGAGAACUCGGGUGAAGGAACUAGGCAAAAUGGUACCGUAACUUCGGGAGAAGGUACGCUCCUAGCGGUGAUGAGACUUGCUCUCUAAGCUGCCGGGAGUCGCAGAUACCAGGUGGCUGCAACUGUUUAUUAAAAACACAGCACUGUGCAAAAUCGAAAGAUGACGUAUACGGUGUGACGCCUGCCCGGUGCCGGAAGGUUAAUUGAUGGGGUUAGACUUCGGUCGAAGCUCUUGAUCGAAGCCCCGGUAAACGGCGGCCGUAACUAUAACGGUCCUAAGGUAGCGAAAUUCCUUGUCGGGUAAGUUCCGACCUGCACGAAUGGCGUAAUGAUGGCCACGCUGUCUCCACCCGAGACUCAGUGAAAUUGAAAUCGCAGUGAAGAUGCUGUGUACCCGCGGCUAGACGGAAAGACCCCGUGAACCUUUACUAUAGCUUGGCACUGAACAUUGACCCUACAUGUGUAGGAUAGGUGGGAGACGUUGAAGCAACCGCGCCAGUGGUUGUGGAGUCAAUCUUGAAAUACCACCCUUGUAUGCUUGAUGUUCUAACGUCGACCCCUUAUCGGGGUUACGGACAGUGCCUGGUGGGUAGUUUGACUGGGGCGGUCUCCUCCCAAAGAGUAACGGAGGAGCACGAAGGUGGGCUAAUCACGGUCGGACAUCGUGAGGUUAGUGCAAUGGCAUAAGCCCGCUUGACUGCGAGAAUGACAAUUCGAGCAGGUGCGAAAGCAGGUCAUAGUGAUCCGGUGGUUCUGAAUGGAAGGGCCAUCGCUCAACGGAUAAAAGGUACUCCGGGGAUAACAGGCUGAUACCGCCCAAGAGUUCAUAUCGACGGCGGUGUUUGGCACCUCGAUGUCGGCUCAUCACAUCCUGGGGCUGAAGUCGGUCCCAAGGGUAUGGCUGUUCGCCAUUUAAAGUGGUACGCGAGCUGGGUUUAGAACGUCGUGAGACAGUUCGGUCCCUAUCUGCCGUGGGCGUUGGAUGAUUGAGAGGGGCUGCUCCUAGUACGAGAGGACCGGAGUGGACGAACCGCUGGUGUUCGGGUUGUAUCGCCAGAUGCAUUGCCCGGUAGCUAAGUUCGGAAUCGAUAACCGCUGAAAGCAUCUAAGCGGGAAGCGAGCCUCAAGAUGAGUCAUCCCUAGACCUUUAAGGUCUCUAAAGGGUUGUUGAAGACUACAACGUUGAUAGGUCAGGUGUGUAAGUGCUGCGAGGCAUUGAGCUAACUGAUACUAAUUGCCCGUGAGGCUUAACCAUACAACACCCAAGGGGUUU